AAACCAUGUCGAGAACAUUUUCGUAGGAGUUCCUUAAACCUUUCCCAUGUCUUAGAUAGAGACUCCAAUUCCAAUUGUACAAAGGAUGAGAUCUCAUUCCUAAGCUU